CUACACAAAAGUUCAAAAUCACUAAAGGCAAACACGGAGUCAUUUUAUCUGGAAUGCAGCCAUCAACACCAGGAUCCCCUGAGAUGCCAACAUGGACACCGAACUUCAAGAAUAACCACAUUAAUUAAGACUUGUUGGUUAGUUCUCAGGGUCCAGUUUAAAUGCUGAUACAGUGUGUAUAUUGGCUUUUAAAGAAAACUCUCUACAGAAAACUCUACUGCUUUCCAAUAGGACUCUGCUAUAGAUUUACUAAAAUAUAUCACUAAUCAGCCAUCAUUUUUCUUUUUUAAUAAUGGUAAAAAAUGUUGAUAUUUUUAUAAGAUAAAUCAUGCAAGCAUAAGAUUUGGGGUCAUUUAAUCUGUAUGUACAGAUGGAUCUUGACUUGACCUUCUUUGCUGUUUUUGAGUUGCCUUUUGGGGAUUAAUCUGGUGCAGGGUUGCUCUUCAGUGCAGUGAGGAGUCGCAUGAGAGCCAGUCCAUUCGGUGGUUAAGAUGACAGGACCACCAGGCUGUGCAUUGUUGACAAUGCUUUCUUCUUGUUCUUGGAGAUGUGACCUGCGUCUUGGAUCUGGCUUCCACGUUGACAGUAUCCUUUUGGUGAAUGGUGACAUUAAUCAUUCACCUUCCAGUGUCAUCGCUGUUCUGCUUCUGGUUUUUCAUCAGUAUAUCUCUAAUGUGUGGAACAGUGCCUGGCACACAGGAGGUGACCGAAAUUUGGUUUAUGGCAGGAUAUUCAGACAACUGAAUUAAAACAAUAUUCAUACAGUCCCAUGGAAUGUUCACUCUUCAACAUGUUAAAAUGAGAAGACAAGGGGACCAGGUAUAAAAACGAAUAAAUACCACUGAGAAAAACGGAAGUGAGAAGGAGUCUAAGAGAAAGCAGAAUUGAAAAUAGAGUAUAAAUACACUUUCCUGAGAGCAAUGUUCUUCCCAAUGAGGAAAACGUGGCAUAAAUCAUCUACACCUUUAAAGAAUAUUACACACUUCAAAGUAAGUGCUGCUAGCAAAUAUUUUCUAAGAUUAGGCGAAGUUAAAAUGUCAUUUUAAUGUCUUGAUUGUUAGGAACAGUUUC